rnacentral:rRNA from 1 species
UACGAAGGGGGGCUAGCGUUGCUCGGAAUCACUGGGCGUAAAGGGUGCGUAGGCGGGUUUUUUAAGUCAGGGGUGAAAUCCUGGAGCUCAACUCCAGAACUGCCUUUGAUACUGAGGAUCUUGAGUUCGGGAGAGGUGAGUGGAACUGCGAGUGUAGAGGUGAAAUUCGUAGAUAUUCGCAAGAACACCAGUGGCGAAGGCGGCUCACUGGCCCGAUACUGACGCUGAGGCACGAAAGCGUGGGGAGCAAACAGG